rnacentral:rRNA from 1 species
UACGGAGGGUGCAAGCGUUGUCCGGAUUUAUUGGGUUUAAAGGGUGCGUAGGUGGCUUUAUAAGUCAGUGGUGAAACCCCUGGGCUUAACCCAGGGAGUGCCAAUGAUACUGCAAGGCUUGGGUUACCUCUAGGCGGGUGGAAUGGAUGGUGUAGCGGUGAAAUGCAUAGAUAUCAACCAGAACGCCGACAGCGAAGGCAGCUCGCUGGGGGUAUACCGACACUGAGGCACGAUAGCGUGGGGAUCAAACAGG